CACUGCAGGUGCACUGCACUACUUCUCUCUAAUCCUAUUAUCUGGGUGCUAGUGCUAUCUCAAUGCAAUGCACCCAGGCAAAGAUUCUGAGAGGCACCCCACCCGACUCAACUGGAAA
rnacentral:pre_miRNA from 15 species